rnacentral:rRNA from 1 species
UACAGAGGGGGCAAGCGUUGUUCGGAAUUACUGGGCGUAAAGGGCGCGUAGGCGGCCUUCUAAGUCAGACGUGAAAUCCCCCGGCUUAACCUGGGAACUGCGUCUGAUACUGGGAGGCUAGAGUGCGGGAGAGGGAUGCGGAAUUCCAGGUGUAGCGGUGAAAUGCGUAGAUAUCUGGAGGAACACCGGUGGCGAAGGCGGCAUCCUGGACCAACACUGACGCUGAGGAGCGAAAGCCAGGGGAGCAAACGGG